rnacentral:pre_miRNA from 1 species
UCUUAGGGGUGCGCAAAGAAAGUGGUCUCUUGAGAUGGAAUCUACUCCUGGUGAAAAGGCUAUGAA